rnacentral:rRNA from 1 species
GAUGAACGCUGGCGGCGUGCCUAAUACAUGCAAGUCGAGCGAACAGACGAGGAGCUUGCUCCUCUGACGUUAGCGGCGGACGGGUGAGUAACACGUGGAUAACCUACCUAUCAGACUGAGAUAACUUCGGGAAACCGGCGCUAAUCCCGGAUAAUAUCUUGAACCGCAUGGUUCAAUAGUGAAAGACGGUUUUGCUGUCACUUAUAGAUGGAUCCGCGCCGCAUUAGCUAGUUGGUAAGGUAACGGCUUACCAAGGCAACGAUGCGUAGCCGACCUGAGAGGGGGAUCGGCCACACUGGAACUUGGCCACGGUCCAGACGCCUACGGGAGGCAGCAGUAGGGAAUCUUCCGCAGUGGGCGAAAGCCUGACGGAGCAACGCCGCGUGAGUGAUGAAGGUCUUCGGAUCGUAAAACUCUGUUAUUAGGGAAGAACAAAUGUGUAAGUAACUAUGCACGUCUUGACGGUACCUAAUCAGAAAGCCACGGCUAACUACGUG